rnacentral:rRNA from 1 species
CCUACGGGAGGCAGCAGUGAGGAAUAUUGGUCAAUGGACGAGAGUCUGAACCAGCCAAGUCGCGUGAAGGAUGACUGCCCUAUGGGUUGUAAACUUCUUUUAUAUGGGAAUAAAAUGUUCCACGUGUGGGAUUUUGUAUGUACCAUAUGAAUAAGGCUCGGCUAACUCCGUGCCAGCAGCCGCGGUAAUACGGAGGAUCCGAGCGUUAUCCGGAUUUAUUGGGGUUAAAGGGAGCGUAGGUGGAUUGUUAAGGCAGUUGUGAAAGUUUGCGGCUCAACCGUAAAAUUGCAGUUGAAACUGGCAGUCUUGAGUAGAGUAGAGGUAGGCGGAAUUCGUGGUGUAGCGGUGAAAUGCUUAGAUAUCACGAAGAACUCCGAUUGCGAAGGCAGUUCACUGGACUGCAACUGACACUGAGGCUCGAAAGUGUGGGUAUCAAACAGGAUUAGAUACCCUUGUAGUC